GCGGGGGUACCGAAGUGGUCAAACGGGCCGGGUUUAGGCCCCGGGGCUUAGUGCCUGCCUAGGUUCGAAUCCUAGUCCCCGCA
rnacentral:tRNA from 6 species